UACAGAGGGGGCAAGCGUUGUUCGGAAUUACUGGGCGUAAAGGGCGCGUAGGCGGCCUUCUAAGUCGAACGUGAAAUCCCCGGGCUCAACCCGGGAACUGCGUCCGAGACUGAAAGGCUUGAAUCCGGGAGAGGGAUGUGGAAUUCCAGGUGUAGCGGUGAAAUGCGUAGAUAUCAGGAGGAACACCGAUGGCGAAGGCAGGUCUCUGGGCUGACACUGACGCUCAUGCACGAAAGCGUGGGGAGCAAACAGG
rnacentral:rRNA from 1 species